rnacentral:rRNA from 1 species
UUCUUUUUUUUUUUUUGUAUUUUUAAAAAAUUAUUUUUUUUAAUAGUUAUUUAAUAAAAUUUUUUCCAGUAUUACUGUUAAGGACUUUUAAUAAUUUAAUAAGAUUUUUUAGAUUUUUUACCUUUUGUAUCAUGGUUAAACUAAAUUUUAUUUUUUAUUUUUUUUCUAGAAAAUUAAAUGAAAACCUGUUUAAUGUUGAGAACCUAAGUUCUUUUGUUGUAUUAAAAGUUUUUAUAUAAGCAGGUGGAAGUGAGAUGUUUCGAAUUUUUUUAUAGCUAGUUUUCCUUGGUAAUUUUUAAGAAUUUUUUAUUUGUAGGGGUAACCUCUAUUGUUUAAGCGAAAUUUUUUUUUUAAAAAAAUUAUAGAAUUAUAAGUUUUUAUUGCUUGUUAAUGUGUAAUAACUUAAAUUAAUUUUCUUUUUCUUUUUUUAGGGGAGUUUUCUAAAUUUUAUUCUGAUUACAAUAAUGUUUAAAUUAGUAUUUUUUUUUUAUGGGUUAAAGUAAUUCGGCAAAAAUACAUUUCGACUGUUUUCAAAAACAUAGCCUUUUGUUUUUUUAUAAUAGGUUUGUUCUGCUCAGUGUUUAUAAAUAGCCGCAGUAAUUUGACUGUGCAAAGGUAGCAUAAUCAUUUGCCUUAUAAUUGAGGGCUAGUAUGAAUGGAUUAACGAGAGUUUUUCUGUCUCUAAUUCAUAAUAAUAACUUGUAUUUAAUGUGAAGAUACAUUAAUUUUUUAGUGGGACAAGAAGACCCUUUUGAGCUUUAUUUAGAUUGUUUUUUUUUAGAAAAUUUUAAUUUGGUUGGGGCGACCUGUGAAGAUUAAAACUUUUAGAUCUUCUUUUGCUAAUAAAGAACCAUUAAUUUUGGGUUUUAGAUUAAGUUACCAAAGGGAUAACAGCGUAAUUUUUUUUUAGAGUUCUUAUUAAAAAAAAAGAUUGCGACCUCGAUGUUGACUUAUGAUUUCCUUUUGGUGCAGUAGCUUUUAGGGUAGGUCUGUUCGACCUUUAAAAUCUUACGUGAGUUGAGUUCAGACCGGUGUAAGCCAGGUUAGUUUCUAUCUUCUAUAUAUUAUAUAAUUUUUUAGUACGAAAGGAUUAAAAGUUAUUUUAU